rnacentral:rRNA from 1 species
AGAGUUUGAUCCUGGCUCAGGAUGAACGCUGGCGGCGUGCCUAACACAUGCAAGUCGAGCGAACCCUUCGGGGUGAGCGGCGGACGGGUGAGUAACGCGUGGGUAACCUGCCCUGUACACACGGAUAACAUACCGAAAGGUAUGCUAAUACGGGAUAAAGUAUGAGAGUCGCAUGGCUUUUGUAUCAAAGCUCCGGCGGUACAGGAUGGACCCGCGUCUGAUUAGCUAGUUGGUAAGGUAACGGCUUACCAAGGCAACGAUCAGUAGCCGACCUGAGAGGGUGAUCGGCCACAUUGGAACUGAGACACGGUCCAAACUCCUACGGGAGGCAGCAGUGGGGAAUAUUGCACAAUGGGCGAAAGCCUGAUGCAGCAACGCCGCGUGAGCGAUGAAGGCCUUCGGGUCGUAAAGCUCUGUCCUCAAGGAAGAUAAUGACGGUACUUGAGGAGGAAGCCCCGGCUAACUACGUGCCAGCAGCCGCGGUAAUACGUAGGGGGCUAGCGUUAUCCGGAAUUACUGGGCGUAAAGGGUGCGUAGGCGGUCUUUCAAGCCAGAAGUGAAAGGCUACGGCUCAACCGUAGUAAGCUUUUGGAACUGUAGGACUUGAGUGCAGGAGAGGAGAGUGGAAUUCCUAGUGUAGCGGUGAAAUGCGUAGAUAUUAGGAGGAACACCAGUAGCGAAGGCGGCUCUCUGGACUGUAACUGACGCUGAGGCACGAAAGCGUGGGGAGCAAACAGGAUUAGAUACCCUGGUAGUCCACGCCGUAAACGAUGAGUACUAGGUGUCGGGGGUUACCCCCCUCGGUGCCGCAGCUAACGCAUUAAGUACUCCGCCUGGGAAGUACGCUCGCAAGAGUGAAACUCAAAGGAAUUGACGGGGACCCGCACAAGUAGCGGAGCAUGUGGUUUAAUUCGAAGCAACGCGAAGAACCUUACCUAAGCUUGACAUCCCAUUGACCUCUCCCUAAUCGGAGAUUUCCCUUCGGGGACAAUGGUGACAGGUGGUGCAUGGUUGUCGUCAGCUCGUGUCGUGAGAUGUUGGGUUAAGUCCCGCAACGAGCGCAACCCUUGCCUUUAGUUGCCAGCAUUAAGUUGGGCACUCUAGAGGGACUGCCGAGGAUAACUCGGAGGAAGGUGGGGAUGACGUCAAAUCAUCAUGCCCCUUAUGCUUAGGGCUACACACGUGCUACAAUGGGUGGUACAGAGGGUUGCCAAGCCGUGAGGUGGAGCUAAUCCCUUAAAGCCAUUCUCAGUUCGGAUUGUAGGCUGAAACUCGCCUACAUGAAGCUGGAGUUACUAGUAAUCGCAGAUCAGAAUGCUGCGGUGAAUGCGUUCCCGGGUCUUGUACACACCGCCCGUCACACCAUGGGAGUUGGGGGCGCCCGAAGCCGGUUAGCUAACCUUUUAGGAAGCGGCCGUCGAAGGUGAAACCAAUGACUGGGGUGAAGUCGUAACAAGGUAGCCGUAUCGGAAGGUGCGGCUGGAUCACCU